UUUCAGAGCGAACCCGUCAGAGCAGAAAAGGAGCAACAGCUGAGGGACAAAUUGGACCAGCUUAUUUUGAAGAGCAGGCAGAGCAAGACCGAAUGAAAAGAACAGGGGGGCAUGGGAACAGUCUGGAGGCGCCUGCCCCCCCAUUUCAUGGGCAGCCAUUCUGACCAAGUGGAAAGCCCAAAUACC
rnacentral:lncRNA from 1 species